CCCGCCUACUCAUGAAGUCGUACACCUGAAGGUCCAGCGAGUGGGGUUGGUAUCAAUGUGUAGGCCUAGUGGAUCCACACCGUGACCUAGUGCACUGGACCCUGUUGAUAUGCAGCCACCUCAGCUUCAUGAAGAAACGGCAAGAUUCAGAUGACUACACCGUUUCAGAUCUACUCAUCUCGCUCACCUGUCCACCUGGAUGAAGGAUCACACUCUGCAGCUGAACAUGUCCAAAACCAAGCUCCCAAUCAAAUUGUUCUAGGUUAAUCUCUAACA